rnacentral:lncRNA from 1 species
GACGGCCGUAUAAUCCGAGAACGACGCGGCCGAGAGGAGUUGAAUCGGAGCAAGGUGUGGUGGAGGAGAGUGUCGCGGAGGGAUCUGAGCGGAAGUAGGUGGGGCAGAGGGAGAAGUCGAGGAAGACUCGAUCGGUUAUUGUGAUGUCGGGGGAAGGUGGUUUAGCUGGUGGUGGUGGAGUUACGGUGGCGAUUGUGGUGGAGAGGAGGAGAUUACGACGGGUGAGAAUCGGAGGGAUGAGGAUUGAUGAUGAUGCCAUGUUGGAUGAUGAUGAUGAUGAUAUCAUUGUCUCUAUCUCUAUAUCUUUUCUUCUUUUACUUGCUAUGUUCUACGAUGUCGUUUUGGACCUUAAUAGGUUACUGGGUCGGGCUUGCAGUUUACUAUUUUUUUGUUGUCCUCUAAAUUUUAUUAAAAACCAAAGUAGGAUACAAGUUAAAAUAUAUAAAUCGGUGGAUCAAUGGAUUGUCUCCAGAAACUCAA